rnacentral:rRNA from 1 species
GACGAACGCUGGCGGCGUGCUUAACACAUGCAAGUCGAACGGAAAGGCCCUGCUUUUGUGGGGUGCUCGAGUGGCGAACGGGUGAGUAACACGUGAGUAACCUGCCCUUGACUUUGGGAUAACUUCAGGAAACUGGGGCUAAUACCGGAUAGGAGCUCCUGCUGCAUGGUGGGGGUUGGAAAGUUUCGGCGGUUGGGGAUGGACUCGCGGCUUAUCAGCUUGUUGGGGGGGUAGUGGCUUACAAAGGCUUUGACGGGUAGCCGGCCUGAGAGGGUGACCGGCCACAUUGGGACUGAGGUACGGCCCAGACUCCUACGGGCGGCAGCAGUGGGGAAUAUUGCACAAUGGGCGGAAGCCUGAUGCAGCAACGCCGCGUGCGGGAUGACGGCCUUCGGGUUGUAAACCGCUUUCGCCUGUGACGAAGCGUGAGUGACGGUAAUGGGUAAAGAAGCACCGGCUAACUACGUG